GGUCGUGUAGCUCAGUGGUUAGAGCGUUCGGCUUACAUCCGAAAGGCCGCAGGUUCAAAUCCUGCCACGACCA
rnacentral:tRNA from 1 species